AUAAUGGGUCAGCGACUUAUAUUCUGUAGCAAGGUUAACCGAAUAGGGGAGCCGAAGGGAAACCGAGUCUUAACUGGGCGUUAAGUUGCAGGGUAUAGACCCGAAACCCGGUGAUCUAGCCAUGGGCAGGUUGAAGGUUGGGUAACACUAACUGGAGGACCGAACCGACUAAUGUUGAAAAAUUAGCGGAUGACUUGUGGCUGGGGGUGAAAGGCCAAUCAAACCGGGAGAUAGCUGGUUCUCCCCGAAAGCUAUUUAGGUAGCGCCUCGUGAAUUCAUCUCCGGGGGUAGAGCACUGUUUCGGCAAGGGGGUCAUCCCGACUUACCAACCCGAUGCAAACUGCGAAUACCGGAGAAUGUUAUCACGGGAGACACACGGCGGGUGCUAACGUCCGUCGUGAAGAGGGAAACAACCCAGACCGCCAGCUAAGGUCCCAAAGUCAUGGUUAAGUGGGAAACGAUGUGGGAAGGCCCAGACAGCCAGGAUGUUGGCUUAGAAGCAGCCAUCAUUUAAAGAAAGCGUAAUAGCUCACUGGUCGAGUCGGCCUGCGCGGAAGAUGUAACGGGGCUAAACCAUGCACCGAAGCUGCGGCAGCGACGCUGAUGCGUUGUUGGGUAGGGGAGCGUUCUGUAAGCCUGUGAAGGUGUGCUGUGAGGUAUGCUGGAGGU
rnacentral:rRNA from 1 species